rnacentral:tRNA from 1 species
CGAAAAUGACAGGACUUGAACCUGCGAUUCCCUACGUGACAGGUCGGUGCUUUACCAAUUAAGCUACAUUUUC